UACGCCUGUACCUAUACGCGAACAGACACACGUCCUCGUCUCUUCGCCUCCUCAUCUCGAUCCCUAAUUCCGCAGCCGCCGCAGGGAAUCGGCGACGAACGACGGCGAACUCGACGCCGUUUCAUCGGGUGAAUGUUGACAUCGGCCGACCGUCCACCGGUGCAUAAUCUUUAAUUUGCAAGUGUUGGCUCUUCCCAUCCCAGGAGGAUAUGGAUAAAUUUUUGUUGAAAGGGAAACGACAAGCACUAGAUAGUAAUGUGGCAGGGACUUCAAGGCCUGUUAGACCAAGACAAGAUCUUGCUUCAAAUAUUGUUGCCAUAGCGUCAGUGGAGAGAUGCUUUUCAGCAAUGAAUAUCGUCAAGAGUGUUUUGCGGAACAAAAUGGGUGAUGAGUUCAUGAGUGAUUGCCUGAUUUGCUAUGUGGAGAAAGACAUAUUUUCUACAAUAACGAAUGAUGAUGUGAUUGAUCUAUUUAAGAAGAUGAAAGAUAGAGAA